rnacentral:rRNA from 1 species
AGCGAACGCUGGCGGCAGGCUUAACACAUGCAAGUCGAGCGGGCACCUUCGGGUGUCAGCGGCAGACGGGUGAGUAACACGUGGGAACGUACCCUUCGGUUCGGAAUAACGCUGGGAAACUAGCGCUAAUACCGGAUACGCCCUUAUGGGGAAAGGUUUACUGCCGAAGGAUCGGCUCGCGUAUGAUUAGCUAGUUGGUGGGGUAACGGCCUACCAAGGCGACGAUCAGUAGCUGGUCGGAGAGGAUGAUCAGCCACACCGGGACUGAGACACGGCCCAGACUCCUACGGGAGGCAGCAGUGGGGAAUAUUGGAAAAUGGGCGCAAGCCUGAUCCAGCCAUGCCGCGUGAGUGAUGAAGGCCUUAGGGUUGUAAAGCUCUUUUGUCCGGGACGAUAAUGACGGUACCGGAAGAAUAAGCCCCGGCUAACUUCGUG